CAAGCUUCUAGUUAGAAACUGACUGCCUGGAACCCCUUGCCUAAUUACUUACCUGGCAUUGCUCUCGAGUACUCAUCUUCAACAUUUUAUGCUUCCAGAGAAGAUAUCACAUCUGCCUGAGGAACAGAUAGGGCAAGUGAGAAGGAUACAAGGAAGCAUGUGGAGACAAGCGCAACAGAACACAUGCCGAUUCAUCUAUUACUUCGUCAACAGCAAAAGUAUCCCAUAUCAUCAAGGUCGAAUGCACUCUUGAUUUGAUGGACUUGUUUUGACCCUUAAAUUCUUGAGUCGGCCUUAUAUUCUAGAGGAAACCAGAAAACU
rnacentral:lncRNA from 1 species